rnacentral:rRNA from 1 species
CCCAUUGGUCUGGGAUAACUGCGGGAAACUGCAGCUAAUACUGGAUGUACCCGCGAGGGGAAAGAUUAUCGCCGAUGGAGGGGCCCGCGUCAGAUUAGGUAGUUGGUGAGGUAACGGCUCACCAAGCCUACGAUCUGUAGCUGGUCUGAGAGGAUGAUCAGCCACACUGGGACUGAGAUACGGCCCAGACUCCUACGGGAGGCAGCAGUGGGGAAUAUUGGACAAUGGGGGCAACCCUGAUCCAGCAAUGCCGCGUGAGUGAUGAAGGCCUUAGGGUUGUAAAGCUCUUUUGCCAGGGACGAUGAUGACGGUACCUGGAGAAUAAGCCCCGGCUAACUUCGUGCCAGCAGCCGCGGUAAUACGAAGGGGGCUAGCGUUGUUCGGAAUUACUGGGCGUAAAGGGCGCGUAGGCGGCCGUUCAAGUCAGAUGUGAAAGUCCUGGGCUUAACCUGGGGACUGCAUUUGAUACUGGAUGGCUUGAAUUCGGGAGAGGAUAGCGGAAUUCCCAGUGUAGAGGUGAAAUUCGUAGAUAUUGGGAAGAACACCGGUGGCGAAGGCGGCUAUCUGGACCGACAUUGACGCUGAGGCGCGAAAGCGUGGGGAGCAAACAGGAUUAGAUACCCUGGUAGUC